rnacentral:lncRNA from 1 species
CCUUGGGUUCCCUCCCCCAUCCUCCAAGUAGAAUGACUACACUACCCUAACAACAGUUACGGAAGGGAAAAGAGACAGUCAAACAUUAGACUUACUUCACUGUGGUUGUCUUAGGUGGCCUACAGGUGAAAGGAAAUUGGGAAAGAAUGAUAAAGGAAAGAAAGAAAACAGGAAACAGAUGUCUGGUGAUGAAUAAUGCUCAGAUAGUACUUACUCAGUGAGCAUGGGCUUAGUCACAAACAGCUGUAUCCUGGUCUCAAUAUUAGAAUCGUGCAGAUAAGUUCUCAGCCAAAACAGGCACGUUCCACAAAAUCUGUCUAUUCUGUUUAAUAAAGUUAAUCCUCAAAUUGCUGUAUAGCCGGGAGACUCAAGUUCAUUGUAACUACGCAGCAA